rnacentral:rRNA from 1 species
UACGUAGGGUGCGAGCGUUGUCCGGAAUUACUGGGCGUAAAGAGCUCGUAGGUGGUUUGUCGCGUCGUCUGUGAAAUUCCGGGGCUUAACCUCGGGCGUGCAGGCGAUACGGGCAAUACUUGAGUGCUGUAGGGGAGACUGGAAUUCCUGGUGUAGCGGUGAAAUGCGCAGAUAUCAGGAGGAACACCAAUGGCGAAGGCAGGUCUCUGGGCCACUACUGACGCUGAGAAGCGAAAGCAUGGGGAGCGAACAGGAUUAGA